rnacentral:rRNA from 1 species
GCUACGGGAGGCUGCAGUGGGGAAUAUUGGACAAUGGGGGCAACCCUGAUCCAGCCAUGCCGCGUGUGUGAAGAAGGCCCUCGGGUUGUAAAGCACUUUCAGUGAGGAAGAACGCCUGGUGGUUAAUACCCAUCAGGAAAGACAUCACUCACAGAAGAAGCACCGGCUAACUCCGUGCCAGCAGCCGCGGUAAUACGGAGGGUGCGAGCGUUAAUCGGAAUUACUGGGCGUAAAGCGCGCGUAGGUGGCUUGAUAAGCCGGUUGUGAAAGCCCCGGGCUCAACCUGGGAACGGCAUCCGGAACUGUCAAGCUAGAGUGCAGGAGAGGAAGGUAGAAUUCCCGGUGUAGCGGUGAAAUGCGUAGAGAUCGGGAGGAAUACCAGUGGCGAAGGCGGCCUUCUGGACUGACACUGACACUGAGGUGCGAAAGCGUGGGUAGCAAACAGGAUUAGAUACCCUAGUAGUC